rnacentral:lncRNA from 1 species
CAGGAAUAUAUCUCACGUUCUCUGUCCUUUGGGGACUUCUCACUGCUUGGCAGAUAGAGCUGCACAUGUGGGAGAGGUAACAUCCCUGGAGACUUGGAAAAUGGAGACCAGCAUCCCCACACCGACCCUCAGGGCGGCUGAGGAAUUACCACAUGAGAAUGGAUACUGAAACGGGUGAUGUAAUUCUGAGCAUCCGUGUUUUGGAGGAAUUAUUCUUCCUCUAUUCUAUGUUGAUCAUGGAACUCUUCUCACAACCAGUGGGAGGCAUCUGGGCCAAGCUGAGGCAAUCAGCGUCUUCUUUCCGAAGUUCUCAUCCUGAGGGAGUAUACUGA